rnacentral:rRNA from 1 species
UACAGAGGUCCCGAGCGUUGUUCGGAUUCACUGGGCGUAAAGGGUGCGUAGGUGGUGAGGUAAGUCGGAUGUGAAAGCUCCAAGCUCAACUUGGAAAUGGCAUUGGAAACUACCUUGCUAGAGGGUUUGAGGGGGGACUGGAAUACUUGGUGUAGCAGUGAAAUGCGUAGAUAUCAAGUGGAACACCAGUGGCGAAGGCGAGUCCCUGGAAAACUCCUGACACUGAGGCACGAAAGCUAGGGGAACAAACAGG